GACGGAGGGCGCAAGCGUUGUUCGGAAUUACUGGGCGUAAAGCGCACGCAGGCGGUUCGCUAAGUCCUUUGUGAAAGCCCGGGGCUCAACCCCGGAAUUGCAUCGGAUACUGGCGGACUGGAGAUCGGUAGAGGCUAGCGGAAUUCCAGGUGUAGCGGUGGAAUGCGUAGAUAUCUGGAAGAACACCUGUGGCGAAGGCGGCUAGCUGGGCCGAAUCUGACGCUCAUGUGCGAAAGCGUGGGGAGCAAACAGGAUUAGAUACCCCCGUA
rnacentral:rRNA from 1 species